GCCAUCCUGCAUGGGGCUAUACCAGAUUCCAGUUCUGACCAUCAUGUUCUCUUGGAGGCUGCCAUCUUUAGGUGGUGCGAGGGCAAGGCUUGGUUAGUUCUCUCCAGACAUUGUGACCCCUACCAUGACAAUAGGCAAGGCACAGCCAUACCCAAGGAGGUCACCUUCUGCCCCUGCAGUGGACCAAAGCGGGUUUGGUGUGAGUCCGUUAUCUCUGGGCUGUUACAGGAAGUAAGAGCUGCACAUCUCCAUUUCCGUCCUGGUAAAGUCAGUGUUUCUGUCCUCCGUGCAACCUUGCUGUCGUAGCGUGGGUGUGCAUAGAGGAAAGGCCGCGUGAGGACACAGUGAGAAGAGGGCCAUAAGGCAAGCCAGGAAAAGCGCUCUCACCAGAAACGGAAUUGGCCAGACCUUGAUCAUGGCCUUCCAGCUUCCAGAGCUGUGAGAAGUAAAUUUCCAUCGUUGAA